AGUGGCGGACGGGUGAGUAACGCGUGAGAAUCUGCCUUGGGGUCGGGGACAACCACUGGAAACGGUGGCUAAUACCGGAUAAGCCGAUUGGUGAAAGAUUUAUUGCCCGAAGAGGAGCUCGCGUCUGAUUAGCUAGUUGGUGAGGUAAGAGCUCACCAAGGCAGCGAUCAGUAGCUGGUCUGAGAGGACGAUCAGCCACACUGGGACUGAGACACGGCCCAGACUCCUACGGGAGGCAGCAGUGGGGAAUUUUCCGCAAUGGGCGAAAGCCUGACGGAGCAAGACCGCGUGAGGGAGGAAGGCUCUUGGGUUGUAAACCUCUUUUCUCAGGGAAGAAGCUCUGACGGUACCUGAGGAAUCAGCCUCGGCUAACUCCGUGCCAGCAGCCGCGGUAAUACGGAGGAGGCAAGCGUUAUCCGGAAUUAUUGGGCGUAAAGCGUCCGCAGGUGGCAAUUCAAGUCUGCUGUCAAAGCACGGGGCUUAACUCCGUUAAGGCAGUGGAAACUGAAUAGCUAGAGUGCCGUAGGGGUAGAGGGAAUUCCCGGUGUAGCGGUGAAAUGCGUAGAGAUCGGGAAGAACAUCAGUGGCGAAAGCGCUCUACUGGACGGCAACUGACACUCAGGGACGAAAGCUAGGGGAGCGAAUGGGAUUAGAUACCCC
rnacentral:rRNA from 1 species